rnacentral:rRNA from 1 species
UACGGGGGGGGGCAAGCGUUGUUCGGAAUUACUGGGCGUAAAGGGCUCGUAGGCGGCCAACUAAGUCAGACGUGAAAUCCCUCGGCUUAACCGGGGAACUGCGUCUGAUACUGGUUGGCUUGAAUCCGGGAGAGGGAUGUGGAAUUCCAGGUGUAGCGGUGAAAUGCGUAGAUAUCUGGAGGAACACCGGUGGCGAAGGCGGCACUCUGGGCCGGUACUGACGCUGAGGAGCGAAAGCGUGGGGAGCGAACAGG